rnacentral:rRNA from 1 species
GAUGAACGCUGGCGGCGUGCCUAAUACAUGCAAGUCGAGCGAACAGACGAGGAGCUUGCUCCUCUGACGUUAGCGGCGGACGGGUGAGUAACACGUGGAUAACCUACCUAUAAGACUGGGAUCACUUCGGGAAACCGGAGCUAAUACCGGAUAAUAUAUUGAACCGCAUGGUUCAAUAGUGAAAGACGGUUUUGCUGUCACUUAUAGAUGGAUCCGCGCCGCAUUAGCUAGUUGGUAAGGUAACGGCUUACCAAGGCAACGAUGCGUAGCCGACCUGAGAGGGUGAUCGGCCACACUGGAGCUGAGACACGGUCCAGACUCCUACGGGAGGCAGCAGUAGGGAAUCUGCCGCAAUGGGCGAAAGCUUGACGGAGCAACGCCGCGUGAGUGAUGAAGGUCUUCGGAUCGUAAAACUCUGUUAUUAGGGAAGAACAAAUGUGUAAGUAACUAUGCACGUCUUGACGGUACCUAAUCAGAAAGCCACGGCUAACUACGUG